rnacentral:tRNA from 1 species
AGCGUUUUGGAGCAGUCGGUAGCUCGUUGGGCUCAUACCACUUUAUGUAACCCAAAGGUCUCAGGAUCGAAACCUGAAAACGCUA